GACAUAGGUGGCAAACGUUAUCCGGAAUUAUUGGGCGUAAAGGAUGCGUAGAUGGUCUAGUAAGUUAUCAGUGGUAAAUCGGGGCCCAACCUCGUGGAAGUUGGUAAUACUGUUAGACUUGAGUAUCGGAGAGGUUAACGGAACUCCCUGUGGAGCGGUGAAAUGUGUAGAUAUAGGGAAGAACACCAAACGGCGAAGGCAGUUAACUAUUCGGCUACCGACAUUGAGGCAUGAAAGCGUGGGGAGCAAAACGG
rnacentral:rRNA from 1 species